CAUUGUUAGUCGUGUGCCUGCUCUGUGAUGUGCUGCCAGUUAGAGAGGCUGGAAGGAAACAAGAGCACAAAGGCCGAUAAUAGGAGCUUCUGCUACGACUGACAAAAGACAAAGAAUAAACUCCAUGUAAUUUCAAUGAAGAGGAAAAUGAAGAUGAUAAUAAACUUUGAAUGAUAUGUUCAUGGUCAUCUUACUGUCCAGCCACAGGGCUUCAGCCAGCAGAGGGCGUGCUUGACCCACCAACACCAAGUCAUCAAUUGGUAUAAUACAUAAAUCUGGAAACCAAGAAAAGGCAGUAGGAGUGGUUCCAUUUAACAUUACUCUAAAUGACCGAUUUUGGAGAGUCUGUAUUUCCUCUUGAUGUGACUCUUGGUUCUGUAGGUUUAGAAGUCUUGAAUCACA
rnacentral:lncRNA from 1 species